GCGGCAGUAGCUCAGUUGGUAGAGCAUCAGUUUCCCAAACUGAAGGUCGCCGGUUCGAGACCGGUUUGCCGCU
rnacentral:tRNA from 2 species